AGUGAACGCUGGCGGUAGGCCUAACACAUGCAAGUCGAACGGCAGCACAGUAAGAGCUUGCUGUUACGGGUGGCGAGUGGCGGACGGGAGAGGAAUACAUCGGAAUCUACUCUUUCGUGGGGGAUAACGUAGGGAAACUUAAGCUCAUAUAGCAUACGCUCUACGGGUGAAAGCAGGGGAUCUUCGGAGCUUGCGGGAAUGAACGAGCCGCUGUCGGGUUAGCUAGUUGGCGGGGUAAAGGCCAAAGAGGGCGAGGAUCCGUAGCUGGUCUGAGAGGAGGGUCAGCCACACUGAAGCUGAGACACGGUCCCGGCUCCUACGGGCGGCAGCGGUGGCUACUGUUGGACGAUGUGCGCAAUCCUGAACCAGCCGUACCGCGUUGGUGAAGAAGCCCUUCGUGUUGUAAGGCCCUUUUGUUGGUAAAAAAAGGCUGCGGCUUAAUACCCCGCUGUUCGGACGGUACCCAAAGAGUAAGCACCGGCUAACUUCGU
rnacentral:rRNA from 1 species